rnacentral:tRNA from 1 species
GUUGGGAUAGCUCAGUHGGUAGAGCAGAGGACUGAAAAUCUC